GGGUUACUUUCCUUAUCUUGAAUCUUGGCUUUGACAUUGUCUAUUAUAUCCGAGCUUUCAAAUUCCAGGGAUAUAGUAUUGCCGGUGAGGGUUUUCACAAAAAUCGGCAUCCCUCCCCUCAAUCGGAGAACGAGAUGCAAGGUGGACUAGGGUCCGACCAUCCUCCAGCUGCUUUCCGGCAAAGAUCAAGCGCUGUUGGUCUGGAUGGAUGCCUUCCUUGUCUUAGAUCUUGGCGUUGACGUUAUCGAUGGUAUUGGAGCUCCCAACCUCGAAAGUUAUGGUCUUGCUGGUGAGGGUUUUGAGGAAGAUCUGCAUAUUGGAGAUUUAUCAAGGAAAA
rnacentral:misc_RNA from 1 species